UACAGAGGUGGCAAGCGUUGUUCGGAAUUACUGGGCGUAAAGGGCGCGUAGGCGGCCCGUCAAGUCCCGUGUGAAAGCCCCCGGCUCAACCGGGGAACGGCGCGGGAAACUAGCAGGCUUGAGUUCGGGAGAGGGAAGCGGAAUUCCGGGUGUAGCGGUGAAAUGCGCAGAUAUCAGGAAGAACACCCGUGGCGAAGGCGGCUCUCUGGGACGGUACUGACGCUGAGACGCGAAAGCGUGGGGAGCGAACAGG
rnacentral:rRNA from 1 species